AGGCUGGUAGCUCAGUGGAUUAGAGUGUAUAGUUCCGAACUAUGAAGUCAAGGGUUCAAGUCCCUUUCUGCCUA
rnacentral:tRNA from 1 species